CUAGAUAGAUAACAGGUGCCCGUACCGCAAACCGACACAGGUAGUCAAGAUGAGAAUUCUAAGGUGAGCGAGCGAACUCUCGUUAAGGAACUCGGCAAAAUGACCCCGUAACUUCGGGAGAAGGGGUGCUCUUUAGGGUUCACGCCCAGAAGAGCCGCAGUGAAUAGGCCCAAGCGACUGUUUAUCAAAAACACAGGUCUCUGCUAAACCGUAAGGUGAUGUAUAGGGGCUGACGCCUGCCCGGUGCUGGAAGGUUAAGAGGAGUGGUUAGCUUCUGCGAAGCUACGAAUCGAAGCCCCAGUAAACGGCGGCCGUAACUAUAACGGUCCUAAGGUAGCGAAAUUCCUUGUCGGGUAAGUUCCGACCCGCACGAAAGGCGUAACGAUUUGGGCACUGUCUCAACGAGAGACUCGGUGAAAUCAUAGUACCUGUGAAGAUGCAGGUUACCCGCGACAGGACGGAAAGACCCCGUGGAGCUUUACUGUAGCCUGAUAUUGAAAUUCGGCACAGCUUGUACAGGAUAGGUAGGAGCCUUUGAAACGUGAGCGCUAGCUUACGUGGAGGCGUUGGUGGGAUACUACCCUAGCUGUGUUGGCUUUCUAACCCGCACCACUUAUCGUGGUGGGAGACAGUGUCAGGCGGGCAGUUUGACUGGGGCGGUCGCCUCCUAAAAGGUAACGGAGGCGCUCAAAGGUUCCCUCAGAAUGGUUGGAAAUCAUUCAUAGAGUGUAAAGGCAUAAGGGAGCUUGACUGCGAGACCUACAAGUCGAGCAGGGUCGAAAGACGGACUUAGUGAUCCGGUGGUUCCGCAUGGAAGGGCCAUCGCUCAACGGAUAAAAGCUACCCCGGGGAUAACAGGCUUAUCUCCCCCAAGAGUUCACAUCGACGGGGAGGUUUGGCACCUCGAUGUCGGCUCAUCGCAUCCUGGGGCUGUAGU
rnacentral:rRNA from 1 species